AACGAACGCUGGCGGCGGGCUUAACACAUGCAAGUCGAACGGAUCCUUCGGGAUUAUUGGCGGACGGGUGAUUAACGCGUGGGAACGUACCCUUUGCUACGGAAUAACUCAGGUAAAGUUGAGCUAAUAACGCAUGUGCUCUACGGGGGAAAGAGUUAUCGGCAAAGGAUCGGCCCUCGUUGGAUUAGUUGGUUGGUGGGGUAAUGGCCUACCAAGGAGACGAUGCAUAGCUGGUCGGAGAGGAUGGCACGGAACGAUGGGACUGAGACACGGCCUAGAAUCCUACGGGAGGCAGCAGUGGGGAAUAUUGGACAAUGGGCGCAAGCGUGAUCCAGCCACGCCGCGUGAGUGAUGAAGGUCUUAGGAUUGUAAAGCUCUUUCACCGGUGAAGAUAAUGACGGUAGCCGGAGAAGAAGCCCCGGCUAACUUCGUG
rnacentral:rRNA from 1 species